UACGAAGGGGGCUAGCGUUGCUCGGAAUGACUGGGCGUAAAGGGCGCGUAGGCGGUUUGUUCAGUCAGAUGUGAAAUUCCUGGGCUCAACCUGGGGGCUGCAUUUGAUACGUGCGGACUUGAGUGAGGAAGAGGGUCGUGGAAUUCCCAGUGUAGAGGUGAAAUUCGUAGAUAUUGGGAAGAACACCGGUGGCGAAGGCGGCGACCUGGUCCUUGACUGACGCUGAGGCGCGAAAGCGUGGGGAGCAAACAGG
rnacentral:rRNA from 1 species